rnacentral:other from 1 species
GGUGCCCUGCUGAAUGCGUCGGGGGCAAUCAUUUUCAUGGUUGAUUCCCUUGGCAUUGAAAUCCGGGCGUUGCCUCUGGCCGCGGUGUGCAAGCCGGCCCUUUACGGGCGGGAAGCCUGAUGCGGUUACCGCGACCACCCACCUGUUUACGAUGGGUUUCAAUUCGUUGUCUCCGAUCGGUUCAGGCGGGGCACCC